rnacentral:lncRNA from 1 species
AAAUUUCACAAAUCGCCUCCGAUGAGGCCCUUUUCGAUUCCCGUUUCGUGUAAUUUUUCUACCGUUGUGAUCACCGUUUUCCUCUCUACAGUUUGACCAAAGCAAAACACGCAAUCGCAAUGUGAGACGGAGGAGCCACUGCACCGGAGAGCCCCGCCAUCGGUGAAUUUUAAUUUUUCAUAUUUUUUCGGUCCACCGAGGUCCUUUAGCGUGUGUGCUCACAGGAAUCGAUGUAAAAUCGACCGAAUUUGGUCAAAAACAAUCGAACAAAGGUGGACCGCCGACACGGGCUAUGGCACCGUCGAUGGAGCACACGGAGCUGUCGUGCCAAGUUUUUGAAAUUGGCCGAGUAGGCUCUGGGACUGAUUUUUGGGUUUAUUUGGGACAUAUGUAGAUACCGUAAACACGUUUCAGUCCCCGAAGAAAAAUUCAAGGAACCUAGGGACCACCCGUAAACACAUUAAACUAUUUAGU